UCUAAUACAUGCAAGUCGAGCGAAUGGAUUAAGAGCUUGCUCUUAUGAAGUUAGCGGCGGACGGGUGAGUAACACGUGGGUAACCUGCCCAUAAGACUGGGAUAACUCCGGGAAACCGGGGCUAAUACCGGAUAACAUUUUGAACCGCAUGGUUCGAAAUUGAAAGGCGGCUUCGGCUGUCACUUAUGGAUGGACCCGCGUCGCAUUAGCUAGUUGGUGAGGUAACGGCUCACCAAGGCAACGAUGCGUAGCCGACCUGAGAGGGUGAUCGGCCACACUGGGACUGAGACACGGCCCAGACUCCUACGGGAGGCAGCAGUAGGGAAUCUUCCGCAAUGGACGAAAGUCUGACGGAGCAACGCCGCGUGAGUGAUGAAGGCUUUCGGGUCGUAAAACUCUGUUGUUAGGGAAGAACAAGUGCUAGUUGAAUAAGCUGGCACCUUGACGGUACCUAACCAGAAAGCCACGGCUAACUACGUGCCAGCAGCCGCGGUAAUACGUAGGUGGCAAGCGUUAUCCGGAAUUAUUGGGCGUAAAGCGCGCGCAGGUGGUUUCUUAAGUCUGAUGUGAAAGCCCACGGCUCAACCGUGGAGGGUCAUUGGAAACUGGGAGACUUGAGUGCAGAAGAGGAAAGUGGAAUUCCAUGUGUAGCGGUGAAAUGCGUAGAGAUAUGGAGGAACACCAGUGGCGAAGGCGACUUUCUGGUCUGUAACUGACACUGAGGCGCGAAAGCGUGGGGAGCAAACAGGAUUAGAU
rnacentral:rRNA from 1 species